rnacentral:sRNA from 1 species
GUCGUUGACGAACGGCACCGCAGAAGUUACCUGGUUUUAUAACUGCGGAUU